GUGCUUGCUUCGGCAGCACAUCUACUAAAAAUUGGAACCGUGCAGAGAAGAUUAGCAUGGCCCCUGUACGAGGAUGACACACAAAUUCCUGAAGCGUUCCAUAUUUCU
rnacentral:snRNA from 1 species